AGCAUCUCUAAAAAUAAAACUAGCUAUCCAAAGGAAAUAAAGACAUAAAGGUAUUUUAGUGCUUUUUCCUGGUGUCGCAAGCAUCUGGACAGGUGAUGGUGGCUCGAACGAGGGUUGGGACAGUGAAGACGGAGAGAAAUAGACUGAACUGUGAAAUAGUUUGGCGGUAACAGAAACCGCAAUUGCACCAUUAGUCUCCUGCUGAGACUGCAAAAUUCCUCUCAGAUAAUUACUAGAUUUUUCAAGGUCAGAGAGUGACAGGAUUACGGCAGACCUUUGCCUAAAUCCCAUUAGAAUGCAAAUCUCCUGGAGAAAGAUAGCAUCCUCUCAAUCCUUAUCAAGCCUUAUCACCUUCGUGUGACUAAUUUGACAACAUCUGACCCUGAGGAGAAGCAAGUACACAGUGGAAUCUAAGUGCCCAGGGCAGGAGUCCCCAGCCCAAGGGCCUACUUGGCCUGGCAGGUAAAGUGAGUAAGUGAAGCACCCCGACCCCACAAAGAGGAUGAAUUGCAGCCAAUGCUGUUGCCAGGCAACGGGAGAGCGCUGAGAACAAUGGGCACUUGCAGAUCAAGGCCUCCGCCAGAGGGACCCCAGCUUCCCCAGCCCGGCCCCUUGCUAGCACAAGACGAGAGCAGCCGUCCUUGACCACGUUUCCUUGUACUGCCCUGCCAUCGCUCCUGUUCAGAGAGAAGUGGUCUUCAGCGGCGCACUGGUUCUGCUGUCAAACGAGAAGCGUGUCUACAAGGAAUGUGUCCGGCCUCUUCCUAUUUCUCUCAAGGUGCUGUAUGAACAUGGGUUGCUGGCUCCCUCCACCAUCUGCCCCAGAAAAGCUAUAGAAGCAGAUGCAAGCACUCAUCUGAGAGGAUUAUCAGCAAGCCCGCAAACUUCCUCUGGCAAAACCCCAACUCUGCAUCAAGUGUCUUCAUCCUAGCUGAACACCAACGAGGGGGGAAAAACAUGUAUGCGUGUGUGUGUGCACACUCCCCCGACACAGGUGAGUGCCUAGAUUCCUACUCUAAACUGAC